rnacentral:lncRNA from 1 species
GAACACUAGUCCCAAGAGAAGUUCAUCAUUAAAAGAUUUUCAGGAUGAGAUUCAUCUGGGGACUCUGGCAUACUGAAACUGCAUUUGGAGAGACACAGUGGUGAGGUGUAUUUAAUCCAGCACAACCCAAGCUGACCCUAGGACUGUUCCCAGUACUGCUGCAUUUUACCACAUUGAAAGGAGAGCAAAAUGAACAAUGAGACGCAUCCCGAGUCACCAAACGUGCCCAGCUGUCACCAGCAUUCUCCAAGCUCCCAGCUUCAAAUGUCACCAUGUCCAUCCACGCACCUCUUGGCAGUGCUGCUUUCAACAACCGAGGGGGCUGAGCACACAGCCCAUUUCUGAAUGAUCCAGUUUAAAGGCUUUAUCAUAGGUUUAGCAAGUUAUCUUCUCAUGAAUAUUGUGAACAGAGCCUUGGCCACCUCCCCUACCGUCUUCGUGUGAAACAAAGCAGUUUCUGUCUCUUUCCAGCCUUUUUCUCGUGCUCCUGGGUUCAUAGCAAUAUCACAUGCUCAGAGAGGUCCCCUGGCCACCCUCACUAACCUGAGGUCCCUUUUGUUUCUUUCCUUUAUAGCACUUUCAUGGUCCCUGAUCAUUUUAGUUUCUGCUAUGGUUUGUUCUCCCAACUAGAAUGUAAGCUGCAGGAGGGAAACAACAAUGUCUCCUUGCUCCAUCCCUGUACAUUCAGCC